GCUUUGAUGAUGCUAGUGUUGGAGGGUUUCCGCCCUUCAGUGCUGCAGCUAACGCAUUAAGCAUUCCGCCUGGGGAGUACGGCCGCAAGGCUGAAACUCAAAGGAAUUGACGGGGGCCCGCACAAGCGGUGGAGCAUGUGGUUUAAUUCGAAGCUACGCGAAGAACCUUACCAGGUCUUGACAUACUAUGCAAAUCUAAAAGAUUAGACGUUCCCUUCGGGGACAUGGAUACAGGUGGUGCAUGGUUGUCGUCAGCUCGUGUCGUGAGAUGUUGGGUUAAGUCCCGCAACGAGCGCAACCCUUAUUAUCAGUUGCCAGCAUUAAGUUGGGCACUCUGGUGAGACUGCCGGUGACAAACCGGAGGAAGGUGGGGAUGACGUCAAAUCAUCAUGCCCCUUAUGACCUGGGCUACACACGUGCUACAAUGGAUGGUACAACGAGUUGCGAACUCGCGAGAGUAAGCUAAUCUCUUAAAGCCAUUCUCAGUUCGGAUUGUAGGCUGCAACUCGCCUACAUGAAGUCGGAAUCGCUAGUAAUCGCGGAUCAGCAUGCCGCGGUGAAUACGUUCCCGGGCCUUGUACACACCGCCCGUCACACCAUGAGAGUUUGUAACACCCAAAGUCGGUGGGGUAACCUUUUAGGAACCAGCCGCCUAAGGUGGGACAGAUGAUUAGGGUGAAGUCUCAAAGGGGGGCCCAAAA
rnacentral:rRNA from 1 species